GUGGAAGCCUGGAUGGCAGAUGCUCAGGUCUGACUGCUGGGCUGCAGGGAAGAAAGAAAUGCCAAGCUGAACUCGCAGGGCUCUGCUGGAGUGAGGAAGCUGACUGAGGGAAGAACCAGAAGGCUGCCAAAAUGUCUGCUGCUGGGGAAACCAAACCACAGUAACUUCAGAAAUAUAUACUUGGAAUAUGUCAUGUAUUAAUGGGUAAAGACACCGUGGAUAUGAAGGAAAUCACCUAUGGGAGAAUAUUAAGAAGAGAAGAAGGGGCUGCUGGCUGUAGUGAAAUGUAUAAAAAGGAGAGUGUGAUCCUAGUUUCUGUCUCUAACUAUGAGUUACUUGUGAUUAACUUCAAAUAUUCUCUCCAUAAGAAGAGGCCCAGAAGAAGAAGAUGAGCUUCAGUUAUUCUAGCACAACUGCUGUGAUAUUUGUAAAUAUUCAAAACCUAUAAUAAAAUGUAUAAAAGGAAACUCCAUUUGAAAUGAUUUGAAAUCUCACAUGGAAAUCUAUUUUUUUUAAAUCAGAGCUUAGUAAGAGAAAAUAACAGAACAUUGUAAUAAUUGAAUUACAAAAACAACUGAAUUUUGGAAAAUUUAUUUUCUCUCAUGUGAUGUGUGUGUAUGUGUGUGUGUGUGUGUGUGUAUCUAUUUAGCAAUGGCGUUAUUCUAUCAAAUGGGAUUAGAUUCAUUUUUGACUCCUGCUAAGCACCCUGUCCCCCCAACCCCAAGAUUAUGAAAGCGGAAGGGAAGGGGGAGAUAGGAAAUAUGACUUAUUUAAACUGUAUAAAAAUGCUGAAAUAAAAUGAACAUUCAAAACUCAU
rnacentral:lncRNA from 1 species